UACGUAGGUGACAAGCGUUGUCCGGAUUUAUUGGGCGUAAAGAGCGUGUAGGCGGCCAGGUAGGUCUGCUGUGAAAACUCGAGGCUCAACCUCGAGACGUCGGCGGAAACCAUCUGGCUAGAGUCCGGAAGAGGAGAGUGGAAUUCCUGGUGUAGCGGUGAAAUGCGCAGAUAUCAGGAAGAACACCCGUGGCGAAGGCGGCUCUCUGGGACGGUACUGACGCUGAGACGCGAAAGCGUGGGGAGCAAACAGG
rnacentral:rRNA from 1 species